rnacentral:misc_RNA from 1 species
CAUGCAACUGCAUUCCAGUACACUCCUUUAGGUAGAACCAUUCUUGGACCAGCUAAAAAUGUCAGGUCAAUUACCAGAGAUCAUCUUCAGAGCUACAUACAAACACACUACACUGCUCCCCGAAUGGUCAUUGUAGCUUCUGGAGCGGUUAAGCAUGAGGAAGUUGUUGAGCAAGUAAAGAAGUUGUUUAAUAAGUUAUCAGCUGAUCCAACCACUGCUUCUCAGCU